AUUGAACGCUGGCGGCAGGUCUAACACAUGCAAGUCGAGCGUGCGGCGGACGUGUGAGUAAGGUAUGGGGAUCUGCCUGAUGGAGGGGGAUAGCUACUGGUAACUGAUUUCAAGAACGCUGUCCAUGAGAAGUACAGAUAUGGGAUUAGCUUGUAGGUGAGGUAACGGCUCCCCUGGGCGACGAUCCCUAGCUGGUCUGAGAGGAUGAUCAGCCGCACUGGGACUGAGACACGGCCCAGACUCCUACGGGAGGCAGCAGUGGGGAUUAUUGCACAAUGGGCGCAAGCCUGAUGCAGCCAUGCCGCGUGUAUGAAGAAGGCCUUCGGGUUGUAAAGGACUUUCAGUCGGGAGGCGUUCCCGACCUUCGAAGCACCGGCUAACUCCGUGCCAGCAGCCGCGGUACUUC
rnacentral:rRNA from 1 species